GGGGACAUAUGUAUAUAUUUAAAUUGUAAUAAAAUAUUUCUUUGUUUUAAAUGUAUGUAAAGUAUUAUUUUUAUAUUAGAUAAUUGGAUACUUGUAUCGUAAAAUACAAGAUUAUAUAUUUAUAUUUAAGGGUAAAUUCUGUCGUGGAAUAUAUAUUUUUCUGUAUAAAUAUAUACAUAAAUAUUGUGUGUAACUUGUGUUGAAAGUUUGUACUUUUAUUUAUGAUUUAUUUUUCGUAUUAUUUUCAGAGAGUGAGCUAACGCAUGAAAUCAGCAGCCUAAAGACUACGGCCGCAAGGCUAAAAUUUAAAGGAAUUGACGGGGGCUUACACAAGCGGUGGAGCAUGUGGUUUAAUUCGAAACAACGCGCAGAACCUUACCAAUCCUUGCAAUAUACAGAAAACAAUGGUUAUGCUUUGUAUUUUGGUAUACAGGCGCUGCAUGGCUGUCGUCAGUUCGUGGCGUGAGCUGUUGGGUUAAGUCCUAGAACGAACGCAACCCUCUUGACAAGUGUAUAUUUUUAUACUAUACCUUUUCAUACUGCCAGUGACAUACGGGAGGAAGGUGAGGACGACGUCAAGUCCGCAUGGCCCUUAUGGGUUGGGCUACACACGUGCUACAAUGACGGAAGCAAAAGGCAGCAAUAUGGUGACAUGGAGCAAAUCCCUAAAAGCCGUCGUAGUUCGGAUUGUUCUCUGCAACUCGAGAACAUGAAGAUGGAAUCGCUAGUAAUCGUAGAUCAGCAUGCUACGGUGAAUUUGUAUCUAAGCCUUGUACACACCGCCCGUCACAUAAUGGGAGCGAGAUCUGCACAAAGUAUUUUAUUGCUACACAUAAGCAUAUGUAUAAUGUAUUAUUCAUAAGGUGUGUACUGCAUACAAUAUUACUGCAGGUAUUGUGACUGAUAUGAAGUCGUAACAAGGUAGCCGUAGGGGAACCUGCGGCUGG
rnacentral:rRNA from 1 species